rnacentral:rRNA from 1 species
GGCGCGCCUACACAUGCAAGUCGCACGAGAAAGGGCUUCGGCCCCGGUACAGUGGCGCACGGGUGAGUAACACGUGGGUAAUGUUCCCUCGGGCGGGGGAUAACCCUCCGAAAGGAAGGCUAAUACCGCAUAAGACCACGGCUUCGAAAGGAGCCGAGGUAAAAGCAGGCCUCUUCAUGAAAGCUUGCACCUGAGGAUCAGCCCGCGGCCCAUCAGCUAGUUGGCAGGGUAAGAGCCUACCAAGGCUAAGACGGGUAGCUGGUCUGAGAGGAUGAUCAGCCACACUGGAACUGAGACACGGUCCAGACUCCUACGGGAGGCAGCAGUGGGGAAUCUUGCGCAAUGGGCGAAAGCCUGACGCAGCGACGCCGCGUGGGUGAUGAAGGCCUUCGGGUUGUAAAGCCCUGUGGGGAGAGAAGAAUAAGUCGGAGCCAAUACCUCCGGCGAUGACGGUAUCUCCUUAGCAAGCACCGGCUAACUCUGUGCCAGCAGCCGCGGUAAGACAGAGGGUGCAAACGUUGUUCGGAAUUACUGGGCGUAAAGCGUGUGUAGGCGGCUAUGCAAGUCGGAUGUGAAAGCCCCGGGCUCAACCCGGGAAGUGC